GGAGAUACCAUCACAUAACAGGCUUGCAGGAACUCCAUCAGCGUCACUGCAAAUUGCAAGUCUGGUUCAAACACUACCCAGUGGCUCCAAUCCAUACACACAAUUCCCACUGAAAUUGGCAGAAUUCCUGCCUGCAGAAUGAAUGCAAGAUAUUUUCAGCAACGUGGUGCUGUGCUAUAUCACCACUUAGAAAAAACUUACAGCUAUUCACUUCGGAGUUACAGUCAUAUAAUGAAAAAAUCAAACAGUGACAGUACCAAGGAGUGUCAUGUCACCAUCCUGGAGUCAUUUCCGUAUUGAAUAAGCUGAAGACUAAAGCAGAAAGAUGUGUACGUUUGUAUGCAGGGAGUUUCCCUUGUGUCAGACCAGAAGAUUCAGCCUUAGCGUUCCUUUCAGCAUCGCUACCAGAUAUAAUUACCAUGACUCAAGUUACAGCUUCAUUAAAAGCUUCAGAGAUCUCCUUGCCUUCAGGAGGCGUCCAUCAUCACAUCCAAAGGAUAUGACCCUGUCACUGUCAAUACGUUUG
rnacentral:lncRNA from 1 species